rnacentral:rRNA from 1 species
GACGAACCGUACGAACGUUAUUCGGAAUCACUGGGCUUAAAGGGUGCGUAGGCUGCGCAGAAAGUUGGGUGUGAAAUCCCUCGGCUCAACCGAGGAACUGCGCCCAAAACUACUGUGCUCGAGGGAGACAGAGGUGAGCGGAACUUAGGGUGGAGCAGUGAAAUGCGUUGAUAUCCUAAGGAACACCGGUGGCGAAAGCGGCUCACUGGGUCUCUUCUGACGCUGAGGCACGAAAGCUAGGGUAGCGAACGGG